GUAGAUCAUAAAAAAAGGGUAUUGUGGAGUUUUAGAAUUCCUACGCUUUACCGUUGCAUAUGAAAUUAGGCAAAGCGUUUGGAUUCUGGAACCCUAUGUAUUCAUUUUUAUAAUGUGUUUUC
rnacentral:pre_miRNA from 15 species